rnacentral:rRNA from 1 species
GGACUACCGGGGUAUCUAAUCCCGUUUGCUCCCCUGGCUUUCGCGCCUCAGCGUCAGAAGAGGUCCAGCACAUCGCUUUCGCCACCGGCGUUCCUCCAGAUAUCUACGCAUUUCACCGCUCCACCUGGAGUUCCACAUGCCCCUACCUCCCUCAAGACCACCAGUAUCCACGGCACGUCCCCAGUUGAGCUGGGGGCUUUCACCGCAGACUUGAUGACCCGCCUACGCGCCCUUUAAGCCCAGUGAUUCCGAACAACGUUUGCACGGUUCGUCUUACCGCGGCUGCUGGCAC